rnacentral:rRNA from 1 species
GAUGAACGCUGGCGGCGUGCUUAACACAUGCAAGUCGAGCGAGUGAGUUCUUCGGAACGAUCUAGCGGCGGACGGGUGAGUAACACGUGGGCAACCUGCCUCCUAGAGGGGAAUAGCCUCCCGAAAGGGAGAUUAAUAACGCAUAAAAUUAUUGAGUGGCAUCGCAUGAUAAUCAAAGGAGUAAUCCGCUAUGCGAGGGGCCAGCGGCGCAUUAGCUAGUUGGUGCGGUAACCGCGCACCAAGGCAACGAUGCGUAGCCGCCAUGAGAUGGUGAUCGGCCACAGUGGGACUGAGACACGGCCCCGACUCCUACGGGAGGCAGCAGUGGGGAAUAUUGCACAAUGGGCGCAAGCCUGAUGCAGCGACGCCGCGUGAGGGAUGACGGCCUUCGGGUUGUAAACCUCUUUCAGCACCGACGAAGCGCAAGUGACGGUAGGUGCAGAAGAAGGACCGGCCAACUACGUGCCAGCAGCCGCCGUAA